rnacentral:rRNA from 1 species
GAUGAACGCUGGCGGCGUGCCUAAUACAUGCCAGUCGAGCGAACAGAUGAGGAGCUUGCUCCUCUGACGUUAGCGGCGGACGGGUGAGUAACACGUGGAUAACCUACCUAUAAGACUGGGAUAACUUCGGGAAACCGGAGCUAAUACCGGAUAAUAUAUUGAACCGCAUGGUUCAAUAGUGAAAGACGGUUUUGCUGUCACUUAUAGAUGGAUCCGCGCCGCAUUAGCUAGUUGGUAAGGUAACGGCUUACCAAGGCAACGAUGCGUAGCCGACCUGAGAGGGUGAUCGGCCACACUGGAACUGAGACACGGUCCAGACUCCUACGGGAGGCAGCAGUAGGGAAUCUUCCGCAAUGGGCGAAAGCCUGACGGAGCAACGCCGCGUGAGUGAUGAAGGUCUUCGGAUCGUAAAACUCUGUUAUUAGGGAAGAACAAAUGUGUAAGUAACUAUGCACGUCUUGACUGUACCUAAUCAGAAAGCCACGGCUAACUACGUG